GACGAACGCUGGCGGCGUGCCUAAUACAUGCAAGUCGAGCGAAGUUUUUCUGGUGCUUGCACCGGAAAAACUUAGCGGCGAACGGGUGAGUAACACGUAAAGAACCUGCCUCAUAGACUGGGACAACUAUUGGAAACGAUAGCUAAUACCGGAUAACAGCAUUAACUGCAUGGUUGAUGUUUAAAAGUUGGUUUUGCUAACACUAUGAGAUGGCUUUGCGGUGCAUUAGCUAGUUGGUGGGGUAAAGGCCUACCAAGGCGACGAUGCAUAGCCGACCUGAGAGGGUGAUCGGCCACACUGGGACUGAGACACGGCCCAGACUCCUACGGGAGACAGCAGUAGGGAAUCUUCCGCAAUGGGCGAAAGCCUGACGGAGCAACGCCGCGUGAGUGAAGAAGGAUUUCGGUUCGUAAAGCUCUGUUGUUAGGGAAGAAUGAUUGUGUAGUAACUAUACACAGUAGAGACGGUACCUAACCAGAAAGCC
rnacentral:rRNA from 1 species